CUUUACUCCAGCUUUGCACUGGUAUCAGGAUUGUGAUGUGCAGGAUAGGUGGUAGGCAUUGAAGCGGGGACGCCAGUCUUCGUGGAGCCUCCCUUGAGAUACCACCCUUCGCCAUCUUGAUAUCUAACCGCGGCCCGUUAUCCGGGUCCGGGACCCUGCAUGGUGGGGAGUUUGACUGGGGCGGUCGCCUCCCAAAUUGUAACGGAGGCGCGCGAUGGUUGGCUCAGACCGGUCGGAAAUCGGUCGUUGAGUGCAAUGGCAGAAGCCAGCCUGACUGCAAGACUGACAAGUCGAGCAGAGACGAAAGUCGGUCAUAGUGAUCCGGUGGUCCCAAGUGGGAGGGCCAUCGCUCAACGGAUAAAAGGUA
rnacentral:rRNA from 1 species